UGCGUAGGCGGCGCGGUAUGUCGGAAGUGAAAUCUCACGGCUCACCCGUGAAACGGCUUCCGAAACUAUCGUGCUAGAGUACGGGAGAGGAGAGCGGAAUUCUUGGUGUAGCGGUGAAAUGCGUAGAUAUCAAGAAGAACACCGGUGGCGAAAGCGGCUCUCUGGACCGAUACUGACGCUGAGGCACGAAAGCGUGGGGGAGCAAAGA
rnacentral:rRNA from 1 species